CCUGCUGAGAAAGUUGUGGAACAACAAGGAAAAAAGGGUGGAAAAAAGAGACCUGCAGGACAAUUGCAAAAAACUUUUAAGGUUGCUGGCAAAAGAAAAGCAGCUGCCAAGAAAAAUGUUGGAAAAAGAAAAAAAAUUCAAGAAGUGCCAUCUGAUGAACCAUCUCAAGAUCCUUUUGACAGUGGUGAUGACAGUGAAGAAUCUGUCUAUAAAGCUGAAAAAGAACCUGUUAGUGAGGAAGAUGAUGAAUUGGAGGAUGAGGAGGAGGAGGUUGAAAUUAAGCCAAAGAAGAAAAAAGCAAAGAAGGAGGAGAACGUGGUGAAGCCAAAGGCUGAGAAGAAGGUGCAAGAGUUGGUUGUGUAUAAGUCAGAAGGUGAAGAUAAGAAAAAAGGAACGCAAAAACUGAAAUAAUUGAGGCAGAUGAAGUUGAAGAAAUUGAUGAAGAAUAGUUUCAAGAAUAGAAAGCAUCAACAAGAGGGGGCCAUGUGAAGUUGAUGCAAUGGAUAAAGCAAAUGAGUGCAGAACAUAAAUUAGAGAUACAUGAGAUUGGAUUAGGAGCCCUGCUUGAAAUGAAGAAAAAGAAGAAAGAUUCAUCUUCCUCAGAGACUGGCAAAAG